AGUGGCGGACGGGUGAGUAACGCGUGAGCAACCUGCCCUUCGGAGGGGGAUAGUGUCUGGAAACGGACAGUAAUACCGCAUAACGUAUUUUUACCGCAUGAUAGAAAUACCAAAACUGAGGUGCCGAAGGAUGGGCUCGCGUUGGAUUAGAUAGUUGGUGGGGUAACGGCCUACCAAGUCAACGAUCCAUAGCCGGACUGAGAGGUUGAACGGCCACAUUGGGACUGAGACACGGCCCAGACUCCUACGGAAGGCAGCAG
rnacentral:rRNA from 1 species